rnacentral:rRNA from 1 species
UACGAAGGGGGCUAGCGUUGUUCGGAGUUACUGGGCGUAAAGGGCGCGUAGGCGGCGCACCAAGUCAGGCGUGAAAGCCCUGGGCUCAACCCGGGAAUUGCGCUUGAGACUGGUGUGCUUGAGUACGGGAGAGGAUAGUGGAAUUCCCAGUGUAGAGGUGAAAUUCGUAGAUAUUGGGAAGAACACCGGUGGCGAAGGCGGCCUGCUGGGCAGUUUUGCUGACACUGAGGCGCGACAGCGUGGGGAGCAAACAGG